rnacentral:rRNA from 1 species
UACGUAGGGGGCAAGCGUUGUCCGGAUUCAUUGGGCGUAAAGAGCGUGUAGGCGGCCAGGUAGGUCGGUUGUGAAAACUGGAGGCUCAACCUUCAGAGGUCGACCGAAACCAUCUGGCUAGAGUCCGGGAGAGGAGAGUGGAAUUCCUGGUGUAGCGGUGAAAUGCGCAGAUAUCAGGAAGAACACCCGUGGCGAAAGCGGCUCUCUGGAACGGUACUGACGCUGAGACGCGGAAGCGUGGGGAGCGAACAGG